AUUGAACGCUGGCGGCAUGCUUUACACAUGCAAGUCGAACGGUAACAGCACUUCGGUGGCUGACGAGUGGCGAACGGGUGAGUAAUACAUCGGAACGUGCCUAGUAGUGGGGGAUAACUACUCGAAAGAGUAGCUAAUACCGCAUGAGAUCUAAGGAUGAAAGCAGGGGACCUUCGGGCCUUGCGCUACUAGAGCGGCUGAUGGCAGAUUAGGUAGUUGGUGGGAUAAAAGCUUACCAAGCCGACGAUCUGUAGCUGGUCUGAGAGGACGACCAGCCACACUGGGACGGAGACACGGCCCAGACUCCUACGGGAGGCAGCAGUGGGGAAUUUUGGACAAUGGGCGCAAGCCUGAUCCAGCAAUGCCGCGUGCAGGAUGAAGGCCUUCGGGUUGUAAACUGCUUUUGUACGGAACGAAAAGCCCUCUUCUAAUACAGGAGGGUCAUGACGGUACCGUAAGAAUAAGCACCGGCUAACUACGUG
rnacentral:rRNA from 1 species